UCGAGAAUUUUUCACAAUGGGGGAAACCCUGAUGGAGCGACGCCGCGUGGGGGAUGAAUGGCUUCGGCCCGUAAACCCCUGUCAUUUGUGAACAAUAUGUUUUCAGAAACACUGGAAACGUUGAUAGUAGCAGAAGAGGAAGGGACGGCUAACUCUGUGCCAGCAGCCGCGGUAAUACAGAGGUCCCAAGCGUUGUUCGGAUUCACUGGGCGUAAAGGGUGCGUAGGCGGUCAGGUAAGUCUGAAGUGAAAGCUCCAUGCUCAACUUGGAAAAUGCUUCAUAUACUAUCUGACUAGAGAGCCGGAGAGGAGGCUGGAAUUCUCGGUGUAGCAGUGAAAUGCGUAGAUAUCGAGAGGAACACCAGUGGCGAAAGCGAGUCUCUGGACGGCAUCUGACGCUGAGGCACGAAAGCCAAGGUAGCAAACGGGAUUAGAUACCCCCGUAGUCC
rnacentral:rRNA from 1 species